CUACCUCCUCUCUCUCUCUCUACCUCUCUCUCUCUACCUCUCUCCUACCUCUCUCUCUCUACCUCUCUCUACCUCUCUCUCUCUACCUCUCUCUCUCUCUCUACCUCUUCAUCCUCCUCUCCCUUCACCCCUCUCUCCCGGUCCCAUUCCUCUCUCCCUAUUCUGACCUAAUCACAGAUCAUUAGUUGCCAUGACAUUGUGAUUGUUUUUAUAUUAAAUGACUGCUAUCAUAGUUAUAUCAGAUUGUUAUCAGCUGGAUGGUGAAGCCACUAUUUUAUGGACCACAUAUUGAUUGCGACCCAAAUGCCACCCUGUUUUCUAUAUAGUGUACUUGUUUGUCACAUGUUCUCUCACCAGAAGAGUGGUUAGGUCCCAAAUGAGACCCUAUUCCUUAUAUAGUGCACUACUGUUGACCAGAGCCCUAUUCCCUAUAUAGUGCACUUCUUUAGACCAGAGCCCUAUUCCCUAUAUAGUGCACUACUGUUGACCAGAGCCCUAUUCUCUAUAUAUAGUACACUACUUUUGACCAGAGCCCUAUUCCCUAUAUAGUACACUGCUUUAGACCAGAGCCCUAUUCUCUAUAUAUAGUACACUACUUUUGACCAGAGCCCUAUUCCCUAUAUAGUACACUACUUUAGACCAGAGCCCUAUUCCCUAUAUAGUACACUGCUUUAGACCAGAGCCCUAUUCUCUAUAUAUAGUACACUACUGUUGACUAGGGCCCUAUUCCCUAUAUAGUACACUACUGUUGACCAGAGCCCUAUGGGGAAUAGGGGGCCAAUUGGGACGCAGUCUGUAUGUGAAACUGGUCAGUUUUUAAAUGUAUGUUUCUGGGGUUCUUAUUGGUAGUCUGAUUCUCUGAUCAUGUCUGUGGUUGUUAUGGUUACCGUCUGGUCCAGUUCAUACAGACUGUUUUGGUUGUUGUUUCUUUGUUCUGUCCGCUGUUUAUCUCUCUCUCGUUUUGUGGUUUAACUGUCUGUGGUCAGGUUCUGACCAAUCAGAUGGCUCUGUGGUCAGGUUCUGACCAAUCAGAUGGCUCUGUGGUCAGGUUCUGGCCAAUCAGAUGGCUCUGUGGUCAGGUUCUGGCCAAUCAGAUGCCUCUGUGGUCAGGUUCUGACCAAUCAGAUGCCUCUGUGGUCAGGUUCUGACCAAUCAGAUGGCUCUGUGGUCAGGUUCUGGCCAAUCAGAUGGCUCUGUGGUCAGGUUCUGGCCAAUCAGAUGGCUCUGUGGUCAGGUUCUGGCCAAUCAGAUGGCUCUGUGGUCAGGUUCUGGCCAAUCAGAUGGCUCUGUGGUCAGGUUCUGGCCAAUCAGAUGCCUCUGUGGUGGUGUUGUGACUACUGCUGUCUCAGUACUCCUGGAGGACCCCUGGUGUUUCUGAUAGAUUAACUUCCGUCCAGCCCGGGAUUCAAUCAAAGGCGCAUUGUGGAUUAUUAGCACACCAAAUUAGACUGUUCAAUCUAAUGUAGACUUCAGCUGACAUCCGCAGCGUUUACCAUGAAUACCAUCUCCACGAAGGUCAGAGAAAUGACCUGCUUAAAGGUGCAUUGUGGACAGUGCGCCUUUGGUUGAAUCCCAGCCACGGUCUCAUUCAGACCUGGGACACCAAAUCAUGUAUCAAAUACAUGUCCCAAAAUGGCACCCUAUUCCCUACAUAGUGCACUCCUUUUGACCAGAAUAGCACCCUAUUCCCGAUAUAGUGCACUACAUUUGACCAGAGCCCUAAAAGUAGUCACAGUAUAGGAAAUAGGGAGCAAUUUUGGACAUCAUCAGUGCUUCAAUCCCAAAUGGCUCACUAUGUAGUCUACUACCUUUGACCAGAGGCCAUAGGGGAAUAGGAGGCCAUAGGGGAAUAGGAGGCCAUAGGGGAAUAGGAGGCCAUAGGGGAAUAGGAGGCCAUAGGGGAAUAGGAAGCAUUUGGGAGGCCAUAGGGGAAUAGGAGGCCAUAGGGGAAUAGGAGGCAUUUGGGAGGCCAUAGGGGAAUAGGAGGCCAUAGGGGAAUAGGAGGCCAUAUGGGAAUAGGAGGCCAUAGGGGAAUAGGAGGCAUUUGGGAGGCCAUAGGGGAAUAGGAGGCCAUAGGGGAAUAGUAGGCAUUUGGGAGGCCAUAGGGGAAUAGGAGGCCAUAGGGGAAUAGGAGGCCAUAGGGGAAUAGGAGGCCAUUCAGUGUCUGUCAGCCCUCCAGGUCUAGUUUGACCUUACAUCUCCCUGGUUAAAUGGAACUGGAUUCGUCACUCACUGCUUCUCAAUGUUUUAUGGAGUGUAUGUAUAUUAUUAUAUGAUCACAUUUUAAAACAACUGAUGUGUUGACCUCUAAGUACCCUGUGAACUGUUUGUGUUGAGAAAAAAAUUAAAAUAAAUAGAUUUAUGUAAAAUUUGA